rnacentral:rRNA from 1 species
AUUGAACGCUGGCGGCGUGCCUAACACAUGCAAGUCGAGCGGUAACAGGUGUAGCAAUACAUGCUGACGAGCGGCGGACGGGCGAGUAACGCUUGGGAAUCUGCCUGUUAGUGGGGGACAACCCGGGGAAACUCGGGCUAAUACCGCAUACGCACUACGGUGGAAAGCCGGGGACCGCAAGGCCUGGCGCUAACAGAUGAGCCCAAGUCGGAUUAGCUAGUUGGUAGGGAACGGCCUACCAAGGCGACGAUCCGUAACUGGUCUGAGAGGACGACCAGUCACACCGGAACUGAGACACGGUCCGGACUCCUACGGGAGGCAGCAGUGGGGAAUAUUGGACAAUGGGCGAAAGCCUGAUCCAGCGACGCCGCGUGGGUGAAGAAGGCCUGCGGGUUGUAAAGCCCUUUCGGUGGGGAAGAAAAGUCUCGACCUAAUACGUCGGGACCUUGACGUAACCCACUAAAGAAGCACCGGCUAACUCUGUGCC